rnacentral:rRNA from 1 species
CGGUGGAGCAUGUGGUUUAAUUCGAAGCAACGCGAAGAACCUUACCAGGUCUUGACAUCCCGAUGCUAUUUCUAGAGAUAGAAAGUUACUUCGGUACAUCGGUGACAGGUGGUGCAUGGUUGUCGUCAGCUCGUGUCGUGAGAUGUUGGGUUAAGUCCCGCAACGAGCGCAACCCCUAUUGUUAGUUGCCAUCAUUCAGUUGGGCACUCUAGCGAGACUGCCGGUAAUAAACCGGAGGAAGUGGGAUGACGUCAAAUCAUCAUGCCCCUUAUGACCUGGGCUACACACGUGCUACAAUGGUUGGUACAACGAGUUGCGAGUCGGUGACGGCGAGCUAAUCUCUUAAAGCCAAUCUCAGUUCGGAUUGUAGGCUGCAACUCGCCUACAUGAAGUCGGAAUCGCUAGUAAUCGCGGAUCAGCACGCCGCGGUGAAUACGUUCCCGGGCCUU